rnacentral:lncRNA from 1 species
AUAGGAGUUCAUUUUGUGAAGCUGUGACGAGUUUUCCAGUAGACCAUGAGCUUGCUGAUGGCAGGAGCCUGCCUGUCCUUGAUCCUUGUUUCUGUGGGGUCUGUCCCAGUGCCUGGCACAGUGGCUUUGGAGAUGGAAGGAAUAGAGGGAGAGCAGAUCCUCAAACACAGCCUGCAUCUCUCCCUGCUCCCCUCCCACCCUCCAGUUUUCCAGCCAGAGGCAUUUGCUCUAAGGCCCAGGCUGUGGCCCACCUAUCACCGCUACCCAAGUAGUACAGGAAGAGGAAAUUUGAAGAGGAAAAGAGGCACCAGGGAUGAGGACACACCGAGAAAAGACCAUGUGAAGACAUGGUGAGAAGACAGCCAGCUGCAAGCCAAGGAGUGAGGCCUCAGAAGAAACCAACCCUGCCGAUACCUUGACCUUGGACUUCUAGUCUCCAGAAUUAUGCGAAAAUAAAUUCCUGUUGUUUAA